UUACGGCCAUAUCACGUUGAAACACCGGUUCUCGUACGAUGACCGGAGUUAAGCAACAUCGAAAUUGGCCAGUACCUGGAGGAGAGACUCCUUGGGAAUACCAGGUGCU